CCGAGGUGGUGCCACUGCACUCCAGCCUGGGCAACAGAGCAAGACUCGUCUCAAAAAAAAAAAGGAGUAAGCUUUUGUUUAGUCUUCUUUUUGACACCUCUUUAAUGCUUGCUAAUUCCCUUUUCAACAAAGUAAGAGAAGUCUCAUUGUCAGCUGGGGCCUUUGGGAACCAAUAGUUUAUCUUAUACAUAGACUGUGAGAAAAAUAAUUUGUCUUCAUCCUAAUUAUUUUUAAAAUUACCUUUCAUUUAUGAUAACUCAUAUUGGUUUUCCAAUUACAGGUCAAAUAUAAAGUUAUUUUAAAAUAUAUUGAUGAUUACAAAAAUUUGAGUCAACUUGAGUGGGCUGAAAUGCUACCUAUCUCAGAGUUCCAGUGAAAAUUAAAUGAGAUCAUAUAUAAGAAGAACUAGCCCAUGCUGUGUUCCAUCACCCACGGUCUGGUUGAUGGGUAAAAUUUCAGUAGGUGAGGAAUAUGAGCAGAAGAUCAAGUGUGAACCAAGGCAAAUACAUGAGAUGGACAUGAGAUUCCAGAACAAUGAGGAGCCAAACAAUGCCAGGAAGGGGUUCUUAAAGUAGAAGAUGAAAACCUGUAGAGAGAGACUCAUUUAACAGGUACCAAACCAUACUAUAUGUUAAUCAGUCUGGUGAGAAAACCAGCUAUAGUUCCUUCGAGCAUGUGUCUUAUAAUCCAGGACAAAACUAUCAAAGUGGGUCACAGUCUUAUUUCAAAGAGCCUUGAAUGCCAAGCAGAAAGAGAUCAUUAAUGGUGGCAGAUUCUUAAAAGUCUUUUGACCUCUGUCCAGCACCUAGUACUUUCCACAGUACAUGGUGUUUAACAAACAUUUGCUGAACAAAUAAAUUUGUUUAAUAGCACUAUAGGUGUAUUAGUGCAUUUAAUUUUCAAAUAUAAAUAUGUAUUGUUGUUGUUAAUAUCAUAUCUUCUUCUUCCUUCUCUCUCACAGUACCAGACAACAGCCUAACCCCAACUAAGGUAAACUCUGCCACCAAACAUGCCUGGGAAUGGAGAAGGGUCUGCAGAUGAGAACCCCUUCUGGUUCUAUGAUUCAAAUCUUCAUUCACUCAAAGCAGGAACCAAAUCCAGUGCUCCUCCAUUGUUGGAAUAAAUGCUCUUUGCCUGAAUGCUAUUUGUGGUCUUCGUAGAAUGGAGAGUAACUGAAGGCCCCACCGGAAAUCAAUUUUAUGUAAGCUUUUCAUUCUCUGGCCUCAAGUAUUUCUAAAAUGUACCUUUCUAUGCAGGCUACUUAUUCAGGCAACUAUUUUCAGGUGAAGAUACUCAAAUGAAAAUAGAGAAUCCCUUUUGGCCUUUUGCUAAUAUUUCAUUUGUCAAAACUUUGAUAGUCUGACAAAGUCUUUACCAUGAGAUUGGUAAACUCACGGAAGCCAAACUGUCUGGGAUGCGACUUCAGCUCCACUACUUACGAACUCCAUAAUAAUGUACCUAGCCUGCCUAUACCUCAGUUUCCCAUCUAUAAAGACAAUAAAAGCACCUAUUUCACUCA